CUUGUGUAUAAUCCCCAUGUCACCCCGAUACAUCCUGAAACAUUUCAUUAAAAUUAAAAACAUGACAAAUGACAAUUUUCUACAUUAAUUUUUUAAAAUCAUGAAAUAAAAUGUUCCUUAAAAAAAAAAAACAAAGGCGUACAUUUUGCAUGUUGCACGGAGUGGUGGUAAGGUGUGUGUGUGAGUGGUGGUAAGGUGUGUGUGUGAGUGGUGGUAAGGGGUGUGUGUGAGUGGUGGUAAGGGGUGUGUGUGAGUGGUGGUAAGGGGUGUGUGUGAGUGGUGGUAAGGGGUGUGUGUGAGUGGUGGUAAGGGGUGUGUGUGAGUGGUGGUAAGGGGUGUGUGUGAGUGGUGGUAAGGGGUGUGUGUGAGUGGUGGUAAGGGGUGUGUGUGUGAGUGGUGGUAAGGUGUGUGUGUGAGUGGUGGUACGGGGUGUGUGUGAGUGGUGGUAAGGGGUGUGUGUGAUGGUAAGGGGUGUGUGUGAGUAACUAAUACCGACAGAAAGAAAACACACAUGGGGCAGUCGUACUCUACUGACAAACACA